rnacentral:lncRNA from 10 species
AGAAAGUCAGUGGCAAAGGCACAUCGCUUGCCUGGACCCCACGGGGAGCUGCAGGGGUAGGAAGCCCUCCACUGGUGCAGGCCUGUUCUCUAACCUGCAUUUUUCUCUUCUUGUCUCCCAGAACAGUGGGACCAGGUGGAGCGUGCUGAACCAUCCACACUGGGUGGCUCUGAGGACCCUGGGGCUGGGGCUGCAAAUGCUGUGUCCAAUCUCAGCCUGACGGGGGCAGGGGGGUCGGCGGGGAUGGGGAGAGCGCAGGCCAGAGCCCAAGGCUGGCUGGGACAGCAGGCCCACAAGGAGGGGCUGGGCGUCCCUAUUUCCCCACCCUGGCCCCCACCCCCCAGCUGUCUGGGAAAGACGCGCCCAGGAGGCCGGCGGGGAGCUCGCUGUGCUGAGUGGGGGCCUAACUGAGCCAAUAGAAUAUGACAAAGUCUGCAGCCCAAGGCCACUGCAAGGUCACCACACGUUAGCCACAGACAUUGGUCCCUGCCGGAGGACACGUGCCAGGCCCCACCUCCUGCAGGACAUGGCCCUGGGCAGCGAUUGCCACGAACUACCCAAUGACACCACCAGCACCUCUCCAGCCAGCAAAGGAAAGUCACCAGACGUGUCCAAGAGCGGAGGACCCUGAGGAGGGCCUGCGUCAUGUGUGGGGGAGCUGUUGGGCGGGCAGGGCGCUGGCCUCAGAAUGCAGAGGCCUGGGCUCUGUCUCCUCACAGAGAGCCUCCCCUCAGAGGCCCCUAAGCAAGGCCGCAGGGGAGACCGGUGGCUUUUCUAAUUUUUAAAUUGUAUUAUUAUUUUGAGACAGGGUCUUGCUCUGUCUUCCGGGCUGGAAUGCAGUGGUGCAAUUGUAGCUCACUGCAACCUCCACCUCUGGGCUCAAGCAAUCCUCCCACCUCAGCCUCCUGAGAAGCUGGGACUACAGACGCGUGCCACCAUGCCUGGCUAAUUUUUAACUUUUUUUUUUGUCAAGAUGGGGGUCUCCCUAGGUUGCCCAGGCUGAUCUCGAACCCCUGGGCUCAAGAGAUCCUCUCGCCUCAGCCUCCCUAAGUGCUGGGAUUACAGGUGUGGGCCACGGCGCUCGGCCAAGCGGCAGCUUCACCAAUGACUUGAAUGUGAAGCAGAAGGAUUCCGAGAAGAAACGGAGCCGUCACAAAUGCAUUUCGACCAGUUGGGUGACUCCAGACCCAGAGCCGGGCGGACAGCACCUGUUUUCUGUCUUCUCGCGUCAGCUGUUUCUUCGUGUCUUCAGAAGAAUUUGUUGCCGAAAAUCAACAACAGAAAGGCAGUGAAAGAAGACAGAUCCAUGAUCUGCCUGUGGCCUGGCUGCCCGUGGGCCAGGAUGCCUGCUGUGACCACCAGGGAGACACAGGGACCAACGUCCUUUGUGAAGGAUGCAGGCACUGGCUUUGCAGAGCCGCCCUCCUAGCAACUUGGGGAUGGAAGGGUGGUGGGAAGCAGGACCCGCCCAGACACAGGUGUAGGCGAUUGGAAGGUGUGGGCAAGGGCCCCCUAUGAGGGCAGAGGGCCUGCUCCUGGACACCCUGGCACAUCCCAAAUAUACACCAGGCACCAGGGGAGUGGCCCACUCAACCCGUGAGGAAAUGGACUCAGACCCGGACUCCAGAGUCCCACUGGAAUUGGACCCAUAAUGGCCCUGUGGUCCCCGGAGUGAGCGUCAGCUCAAACCUGGACCCAGCAGCCCUCCAGGUCUGCAGAUCCACACUAGGGAUGGAGCCAGUGUCUUGGGUCCACGUUGUGGGGCUUGGGGGACAGAAGAGGCAAGGUCAGACUAACAGCACAGCCCGGUCCCCAGUGGGCCCAACACCUGGCUCCAGUGCCUAUGGAGCUCCCCAGGGUUCUCCCCAGGACCCUGACCUCCAGUCCCCACAAGGCUGUCAGCCCCAAAGGCACACACACCCGAAGGAGCCCAAGCUGGCGCUGCGAGUCAGGCGGGAAAGGCCCGGGCUGCAGCUGCUUGCCGGGGUCACCCUUUGACUAUAAUUGAAGCGCCCAGCAGGGCAGGAGAGGACCACACAGAAGGUCAGGGCCAGAGCCACACCCAGCAGUGAGAGGAGCCCCGGGCACAGCCAGCCAGAGCCCACAAGCUUCCGGGAGGGGAGAAAGAUACCAUGAACCCAAGGAGGGGACCCAGUAGAGAAGGCCCAGCACCCAGAGUGAGAGGCAGGCUCAGUGGACCCCUGGCCCCGCCAUGCAGCCGGGCCCUCCCCACCCAGGCUGCGUGACUGAGGCCAGAGGGCCCGUGGAGAACCACUGGAGAGGCCAGUGACUGCACGAGAACGCCAGGCAACUUACUAACUCUAGUCAGGCGGCUCAGAAUCUGGCCACUUCCACAUCGGCGCUGCAAGGAAACACAAGGCUCAGUUGGAGGCAGCAUGGGGUCUGAGGACUCGGGGGUGCAGAGGAGGGGGGACCACGGGCGAGCUGCCAGGAGACCUAGAACCCUGGAGCACUCGGAGUCGGCACACAGCUGGGGCUCUGGCUCUCCCUGGACGGCGCCUGCGGAGCCUGCCUCACUUGCGGGCCUGGAGGGAGCCAGGAGCCUGCCUCAGCUGCAGACGGCCCCCCGCAGAGCCCGGGCAGAGUGAGCGACUGUCACUGGGGCCAGCACCGUGUGCAAGCCCAGGUUAUCUAGCAGGCGACUGAGUGCCGAGAAAAUACCUGGCAGAGGUGGGCACAAGGCGGGGCCCCCACGGCAAAGACGCACGCCGGGAACCGGAAGGAGGUCCAUACCCAACUCGUGCAAUAAAUAAAACUUUUAUUCAAACAAGUAACUGCAGUACAGGGCACAAUUCAGAUUUUUUAAAAAAAAGGAAAGGAAACAGGAAAAAAAUAUGUUCAG